rnacentral:rRNA from 1 species
UACGGGGGGAGCAAGCGUUGUUCGGAUUUACUGGGCGUAAAGGGCGCGUAGGCGGCCAGCACAAGUCAGUUGUGAAAUCUCCGAGCUUAACUCGGAACGGUCAACUGAUACUGUGCGGCUAGAGUGCGGAAGGGGCAACUGGAAUUCUUGGUGUAGCGGUGAAAUGCGCAGAUAUCAGGAAGAACACCCGUGGCGAAGGCGGCUCUCUGGAACGCAACUGACGCUGAGACGCGAAAGCGUGGGGAGCAAACAGG